AAACUUCUAUAAAAACAAAAUUAAACUUGUCCUUGACUGUUAACAAAAAAUCAAAAUUAAUUGAAAAUAUGUCAUCCAAAGAUAUAUAUAACCAUUUAAAUAACAAAAAUGAUGAGAGACCACUAGGAUUUUCCAAAUGGAAAAACAUCUUCAAUCUAGAAUCAAUCACUCCAAUAAAUAAUGUGCUUCAAUUUACUUUUACCUAUUUAAUAAAUAACAAAUAUAAAAUGUUAAGAUGGAAAUUACUCCAUUACAUCCUCCCAUGUAAACAAUUAUUACUACAAUGGCACAUACAAGAAACAAGUAUGUGUGACUUGUGUAACUUGACUGAAGAUUACGAACACUUUUUUCUCAAAUGUCAAUUCUUUCAUGAAUUUUGGAAGAAAAUAUAUGUACUUGUAAGCAAAAUCAAAAUUGGGUCACAUAUUUUUAAUUUUAAAACUUUAGUACUGGGCUAUAAAAUACAUGAUCCUAUGUAUAAUGAUAUAAAUCUCUUCCUAACUGUCUUAAUAUAUUCAGUUCAUAAAAGUACUCAUAUAUCAAAUUAUAAACAAAAAAGGCAUAGACGCUUAUGCAGUUUUUAGAAAUGAAUUUUUAAACACAUACGAA
rnacentral:lncRNA from 1 species